rnacentral:rRNA from 1 species
UACAGAGGUCCCAAGCGUUGUUCGGAUUCACUGGGCGUAAAGGGUGCGUAGGUGGUGGAUUAAGUCGGGUGUGAAAUCUCCGGGCUCAACCCGGAGGGUGCGCUCGAAACUGAUCUGCUUGAGGAUGGGAGGGGAGACUGGAAUUCUCGGUGGAGCAGUGAAAUGCGUAGAUAUCGAGAGGAACACCGGUGGCGAAGGCGAGUCUCUGGACCAUUCCUGACACUGAGGCACGAAAGCCGGGGGAGCAAACAGG